UACGGAGGGUGCGAGCGUUGUCCGGAAUCAUUGGGCGUAAAGGGCGCGUAGGUGGCCCGGUCAGUUCGUGGUGAAAGCGCGGGGCUCAACCCUGCGUCGGCCAUGAAUACUGCCGCGGCUGGAGCACUGUAGAGGCAGGCGGAAUUCCUGGUGUAGCGGUGGAAUGCGCAGAUAUCAGGAGGAACACCGGUGGCGAAGGCGGAUCUCUGGGCCAUAACUGACGCUGAGGAGCGAAAGCAUGGGGAGCGAACAGG
rnacentral:rRNA from 1 species